UGGGGAAUAUUGCACAAUGGGCGCAAGCCUGAUGCAGCCGUGCCGCGUGUAUGAAGAAGGCCUUCGGGUUGUAAAGUACUUUCAGCGGGGAGGAAGGCGAUAAGGUUAAUAACCUUGUCGAUUGACGUUACCCGCAGAAGAAGCACCGGCUAACUCCGUGCCAGCAGCCGCGGUAAUACGGAGGGUGCAAGCGUUAAUCGGAAUUACUGGGCGUAAAGCGCACGCAGGCGGUCUGUCAAGUCGGAUGUGAAAUCCCCGGGCUCAACCUGGGAACUGCAUUCGAAACUGGCAGGCUAGAGUCUUGUAGAGGGGGGUAGAAUUCCAGGUGUAGCGGUGAAAUGCGUAGAGAUCUGGAGGAAUACCGGUGGCGAAGGCGGCCCCCUGGACAAAGACUGACGCUCAGGUGCGAAAGCGUGGGGAGCAAACA
rnacentral:rRNA from 1 species